ensembl:snRNA U6 U6 spliceosomal RNA
GUGCUGGCUUUGGCAGCUCUUAUACUAAAAGGGGAACAAUACAGAGAACAUUAGCAUGGCCCCUGCACAAGGAAGACUCACAAACUUGUGAAGCGUUCCAUAGUUUU